CGCUGCUCAUCGCAGAUGAAAGGGAUCAAGCGGGAACAAUCAUCGGUCCUGCUUGUGAAGCUGAUUGAAAAGUGAUGUCAUCUGUCAUUUUGGCCAGUCAGCUGUUCCUGCAGGCUUGUGAAUAUUGUAGUUUUUAAUGAUCAUCUGGCCACAAGCACACAGCAGAGAUGAAAUAAGCUGCUGUUGAUGGUCACCUGAAACCUCCUGUGUGCAUGACGUUAUUCUUGUCACUGAUGCCUGCACCAUAACUCCAGUUGGAGGAAUCAUCUGGAAAAACAGUGUAGCGAUACCGGAUGGGGAAAGUUGUGACAGUGUGGUGACCCCCGCUGACUGACGGUCCAGAGUCCGGAUUAUGGAGUGAGAAGGCAUUCGAAACACAUCGAGACGAGCGCGAGGCCAGGUUUACAGCAGUACCUCAGCGCUGAUAAAACUGCACCUCUUAAAUGCCUUUAUUUGAUGCCUCUAUCUGAUGCCUUCAUCUGAGCAAGUUGAAGGAGGUGUGCACAUCCUGGGCCGCCUACAGCUCCCAGCUCGACAAGCCUGAUGCACGCCUGGGAAGACCUGACCUUCACCGAGCCGAUGGUGCACAUCUUGCCAUGUCUUCCCAGACAUGAGGAGCGGAACUCGGAGAGGAACCUCACCCAUCUGAUAAAGGAACGUAUCUAUGGAGCGAAACAGGAAUGGUUGUUCUCUGCUCUGGCCACCUAUGGACCUUCGAAUGAUGUCAUCCUAUUUAGACUCAAAAAAAAUAAUGAAAUGACUCGAUAUUUACCAGAAAAGAUCAAUAAGAAAAUCCCCAGCUGCCAAAAUGAAGCUUGAAAGGGUUCACCAACCUUCUGAAGGACGAGGAGGAGGAGGAAGGCUCUGGAAAUGCUGGAGGCGGAGAUGGACCAGGUGCACAGAAGCUCGCUGGAGGUUUUACAUUUGAAAUGUUUUUUAUUUUUAAAGUACAGAUUAGGACUUCUCAGUCCACAAAAAAGCACAUAGCUGUAAAUAGCAGUAAAUUAUUUUAUACCAGCAGGAACAUGCAAGACCAUCAGAAUGAUCAACUAUUAUUAAGAUUAUUAUAAAAAGAAUAAUUCCUAUUUACAGUGCAUAGAAGCUAUAUAUAAAAUGGGCUUUACAAACUUACAAACUUAUAUAUUUUUUAUUUUUUUCCAUUUCAGAAAAGAAUUGCAAAAAAUUUGCAGUGAACGCAAGAAUGAAGAAAACAUUUGUAGACCUGAAAAGGGAUCUGGAUGUGGACAUCUCAUCACUUACGUAAUUUAUUCUGGAUGACACAACCUACGUUCUUCUUCUGUUGUCUUCUAAACAAACUGCUGACUUUGAUGGACAAUGUCAGUUGUCCUCUGUACACUGUCAGAAACAACCAGAG
ensembl:lncRNA